AUGCAAAACAAAGAAAAGCAAAGUGAACCUCAGUGUGGACGGAAGAGCUCCAGUGCAGAGCUAAAGGAGGUCCCGUGGGUGAGAGCGAGGCUAGUCUUUUUUCCUGCUGAAGAGAAAUCUCUGAAUCUCGUAGAGAUCCACGUCGCUCGCGGACAUGAGGGUGCUGCACCUGGGUCACAAUACUUCACGCAUGACGAGUCACGCGACGGAACCCGCGGGCCACGCGCUCCUCCGCAUUAAAUACACCAGCGCGAGCUGAUGCGCGCGGGGACUCGCGGGGGUCUGACCUGCGGCCGGGAUAUGAGCUCACUUUACUGCCGCGACCGCGAACAAACGCCUUCAAGGGAUUGUUUUCGAUCAAUUUUGGCAUUUUUUUGCUUGCCUUAAAACCAGACAGGAAGAUGCGGAAUCACAAUUCUCAUUUCCGUUUUUCAUUUCCGAGUUUUGUUGAUUUCCGUUCUGCUGAUUGCAUUGUAAGUCAGUGUGAUAAUGAAAACAUUAGAGAUGUUUAUACAGGCUAACACUGAUACUAUUCAGAACAAUGUUAGAUAGGCAAUGACAGAUUUUUACAUUUUGACAGCUGAAAUCCUGCUAAUAAACGACGCUUUAAUGCCUUGAUGAUCUAUAAG
ensembl:lncRNA